rnacentral:rRNA from 1 species
UAUCGGAACGUGUCCUGGAGUGGGGGAUAACUAGUCGAAAGACUAGCUAAUACCGCAUACGAUCUACGGAUGAAAGUGGGGGAUCGCAAGACCUCAUGCUCGUGGAGCGGCCGAUAUCUGAUUAGCUAGUUGGUGGGGUAAAGGCCCACCAAGGCGACGAUCAGUAGCUGGUCUGAGAGGACGACCAGCCACACUGGAACUGAGACACGGUCCAG